rnacentral:rRNA from 1 species
UUAGGAAUCUUCCACAAUGGGCGAAAGCCUGAUGGAGCGACGCCGCGUGAGGGAUGAAGGCCUUAGGGUUGUAAACCUCUAAAAGAGGGACGAUAAUGACGGUACCUCUUGAAUAGCACCGGCUAACUCCGUGCCAGCAGCCGCGGUAAUACGGAGGGUGCAAGCGUUAUCCGGAAUCACUGGGCGUAAAGGGCGCGUAGGCGGUCUGUUAAGUCCGAUGUUAAAUCCCGGGGCUCGACCCCGGAUAAGCGUUGGAUACUGGCAGGCUAGACGGUUGGAGAGGCGAGUGGAAUUACCAGUGUAGCGGUGGAAUGCGUAGAUACUGGUAGGAACACCCAUUGCGAAGGCAGCUCGCUGGACAACACGUGACGCUGAGGCGCGAAAGUGUGGGGAGCAAACC